GAGGAGGCCAGGCCCACCAAGGGGCCCCUGGAGGACUUGUUUCCCUUGUCCCUUGUGGUUUUUUGCACUUCCUGUUCCCUUGCUGCUCACUGCGGAAGUUCCUCUUCUUACCCUGCACCCAGAGCCUCGCCAGAGAAGACAAGGGCAGAAAGCACCAUGAGUGGGGGCCCAAUGGGAGGAAGGCCUGGGGGCCGAGGAGCACCAGCGGUUCAACAGAACAUACCCUCCACCCUCCUCCAGGACCACGAGAACCAGCGACUCUUCGAGAUGCUUGGACGAAAAUGCUUGACGCUGGCCACUGCAGUUGUUCAGCUGUACCUGGCGCUGCCCCCUGGAGCUGAGCACUGGACCAAGGAGCAUUGUGGGGCUGUGUGCUUCGUGAAGGAUAACCCCCAGAAGUCCUACUUCAUUCGCCUUUACGGCCUUCAGGCUGGUCGGCUGCUCUGGGAACAGGAGCUGUACUCACAGCUUGUCUACUCCACCCCCACCCCCUUCUUCCACACCUUCGCUGGAGAUGACUGCCAAGCGGGGCUGAACUUUGCAGACGAGGGCGAGGCCCAGGCCUUCCGGGCCCUGGUGCAGGAGAAGAUACAAAAAAGGAAUCAGAGGCAAAGUGGAGACAGACGCCAGCUACUCCCACCACCACCACCAGCCAAUGAAGAGAGAAGAGGAGGGCUUCCACCCCUGCCCCCGCACCCAGGUGGAGACCAAGGAGGCCCUCCAGUGGGUCCGCUCUCCCUGGGGCUGGCGACAGUGGACAUCCAGAACCCUGACAUCACGAGUUCACGAUAUCGUGGGCUCCCAGCACCUGGACCUAGCCCAGCUGAUAAGAAACGCUCAGGGAAGAAGAAGAUCAGCAAAGCUGAUAUUGGUGCACCCAGUGGAUUCAAGCAUGUCACCCAUGUGGGGUGGGACCCCCAGAAUGGAUUUGACGUGAACAACCUCGACCCAGAUCUACGGAGUCUGUUCUCCAGGGCAGGAAUCAGCGAGGCCCAGCUCACCGAUGCCGAGACCUCUAAACUUAUCUACGACUUCAUUGAGGACCAGGGUGGGCUGGAGGCUGUGCGGCAGGAGAUGAGGCGCCAGGAGCCACUUCCGCCGCCCCCACCGCCAUCUCGAGGAGGGAACCAGCCCCCUCGGCCCCCUAUUGUGGGGGGUAACAAGGGUCGUUCUGGUCCACUGCCCCCUGUACCUUUGGGGGUUGCCCCACCCCCACCAACGCCCCGGGGACCCCCACCCCCAGGCCGAGGGGGCCCUCUACCACCACCCCCUCCAGCUACUGGACGUUCUGGACCACCACCCCCACCACCCCCUGGAGCUGGUGGGCCACCCAUGCCACCACCACCACCACCACCACCGCCACCGCCACCCAGCUCCGGGAAUGGACCAGCCCCUCCCCUACUCCCUCCUGCUCUGGUGCCUGCGGGGGGCCUGGCCCCUGGUGGGGGUCGGGGAGCGCUUUUGGAUCAAAUCCGGCAGGGAAUUCAGCUAAACAAGGUGAGGACAGGUAGGAUGGAAGAUUGGGGGUCUGGAACUCUGGAGUACCCAUGUAAGUCAGGAUACUGGAGGGCUGAGGCCAGGACGGAGGAGAGUGCCAGGCCUUGGGGAUUCAGUGAUAGGGUGGAAAGGUUGGUGGGAAGCCUUGAAGGGUACUGGAGUGUGUGGGAGGGAAAAUAUUGAUGGAGGGGCGGGGAGAAAUGCUCCUUUCCCAGGCCCUGAGCCCUCUGUGCUGACCCCUGCCUGCUGCAGACCCCUGGGGCCCCAGAGAGCUCAGCGCUGCAGCCCCCACCUCAGAGCUCAGAGGGACUGGUGGGGGCCCUGAUGCACGUGAUGCAGAAGAGGAGCAGAGCCAUCCACUCCUCCGACGAAGGGGAGGACCAGGCUGGCGAUGAAGAUGAAGAUGAUGAAUGGGAUGACUGAGUGGCUGAGUUACUUGCUGCCCUGUGCUCCUCCCCGCAGGACACGGCUCCCCCUCCACCUGCUCUGUGCCCACCCUCCACUCUCCUCUUCCAGGCCCCCAACCCCCAUUUCUUCCUCACCAGUCCCUCCAAUGCUGUCAUCCCUGCCUGGUCCUCACACUCACCCUAGCAAUCCCAAGGCCCUUUUUAUACAAAAAUUCUCAGUUCUCUUCACUCAAGGAUUUUUAAAGAAAAAUAAAGGAAUUAUCUUUCUGUCUCUCUAUAAA